UUUUUUUGUAUAUUUAAUUAACCAACCGAGAAUUAAUGCUUUUAUACGAAUAUAUACACCUUAAUAUAUCUAAUGUUAUAUCGAAUAUACCUUAUAUAUUAUACACUUAGAUAUAUUAUACACUUAGAUAUAUAUACAUCCCAACCUGGGUCGACCCAACCCGACCCAACACCUAAAAACCUAGCUGAAAGAGAUCGAAUAGGAGAGGGUUGCGCAGCUGAAGAGGAUCCAUUCCUGGAGUCAAUCUUCUCAAAAAAACGCCCCCACCUGAUUUCUCAUCUUCUCCACACACACAGUGUGGCUGUCUUCUCAUCUUCUCAUUCGUUCCUGGCUUUAAUCUUCAUUGCUUCUUUGAGAACAUAUUGAUUUGUUGGCUGGUUGAUCUGUGAACAGUUGGACAAAGUACUCUGUGGUUUGUCAACUUCAAGAAAUAGUAUAAACACAAGGAUUUAAUUCAUAAUAUAGGGAAAGAAGGGACAAAAAUUCACAUGCUGAUACAUGACAACUCUUAUCUGCUUAAACUGAACAUUCUUUUAGUAUACUCAAUUGGAUGAAGCUUCCCCUUCUCCUCAUAAUGAUUGUUACCUCUUUUUCUUCUUUCGCCCCAGGACUCAGGGGUGAGGUGGGGGAAUUUUGCACUAUUUAUAAGCUGAUACAAAGAGGUUUAACCAUUUGUAUACUGGUUUCAUGACUGAUUGUUCAUGAAGAUAUAUAUUACCUUUGUUCAUGUUGUGAUUUUUGCUACUGCUUCCAUCUAUUUUCUGGCUCAUAGUUUGCUGUGAUUAUCUUUCUGGCACUUGGUGUUGGUAAUGCCUUUUUCUAUUAUUUUCUGGCUCAUAGUUUGCUGUGAUUACCUAUAGCUUGAGCUGUGAAUCCUCCAUGUUGUGUGGCAUGUACUCAUUGUCGUUUGUUCAUUAAAGAAAAGUAAUCAAAUGCGAGUGUAGCUACAACUUUCGUUAACACGUUUAUUAUACUUGUAGAAAAAUAUUUGGGGAGGAAGAUGAGUCAUGAUGAGUUCUUGAUGGAGACUCACAUCCGAAAGAAGAAAGCAUCGACAUAUCCAACUAGAUGGGUGGAGGACCGGGCAGAGACUACACAUGUAAGUUUCAUAACUACUAUAAAUGUUUAUAAUAUUAUAUAAUCACUAAUUUUCUAUCUUCUAAAUAAAGGGUCGUUACAAGAUCAAUUUGGAGGAGUACACUCAGAGCUUGCCACCGAAUGAGCAAGGCGAGCGACCGCCCAUUUCAGACGAAGAAGAGAAGAUGAUAUGGUUGGAU
rnacentral:lncRNA from 1 species